GAUGAACGCUGGCGGCGUGCUUAACACAUGCAAGUCGAACGGAAAGGCCCUGCUUUUGUGGGGUGCUCGAGUGGCGAACGGGUGAGUAACACGUGAGUAACCUGCCCUUGACUUUGGGAUAACUUCAGGAAACUGGGGCUAAUACCGGAUAGGAGCUCCUGCUGCAUGGUGGGGGUUGGAAAGUUUCGGCGGUUGGGGAUGGACUCGCGGCUUAUCAGCUUGUUGGUGGGGUAGUGGCUUACCAAGGCUUUGACGGGUAGCCGGCCUGAGAGGGUGACCGGCCACAUUGGGACUGAGAUACGGCCCAGACUCGUACGGGAGGCAGCAGUGGGGAAUAUUGCACAAUAGGCGGAAGGCUGAUGCAGCAACGCCGCGUGCGGGAUGACGGCAUUCGGGUUGUAAACCACUUUCGCCUGUGACGAAGCGUGAGUGACGGUAAUGGGUAAAGAAGCACCGGCUAACUACGUG
rnacentral:rRNA from 1 species